rnacentral:lncRNA from 1 species
CGGAUUUGCACCUUCAAUUCUCGGAGCCAACGAUGGUUGUAUCCCCUUGGACGGUGCAGCAGUUCUGGUCGAUCCUCCAGUUAUCGAUGUUGGAGAGCCUGCUCAGUGAACAAACAGAAUGUUUAAAGCGUGGUCCUAAGGAAAACCCGAUACUUUGGGAUUGUGUUACCGGUGCAUGGUGACACUAAAUUUCUACGGAAGUUCUUUUGAAGUGCGAGACCACGUUUGACGCCUGAUUGGACCAUAGUGGAUUAUAUACUGGUUUACAUUCACACACGGAAUGUAAAGUAGAUAGCACUGUUAUUUAGAUAUAUUCAGAAAACUCGACAAAUGUAAAGCCCAUGCCAAACAUCAAUAUGUGAUUGUGAACACAUAAUUGUGCACUAUGGUUCAAUAAUAAAGUCUAUGUUAAACAG